CCUACACGAAGCUGGAAUCGCUAGUAAUCGCGGAUCAGCACGCCGCGGUGAAUACGUUCCCGGGCCUUGUACACACCGCCCGUCACACCAUGAGAGUCUGUAACACCCAAAGCCGGUGGGAUAACCUUUAUAGGAGUCAGCCGUCUAAGGUAGGACAGAUGAUUAGGGUGAAGUCGUAACAAGGUAAC
rnacentral:rRNA from 1 species